rnacentral:rRNA from 1 species
GACGAGCCGUGCGAACGUUGUUCGGAAUCACUGGGCUUAAAGGGCGCGUAGGCGGCUUGCCAAGUCAGGGGUGAAAUCCAGCAGCUUAACUGUUGAAGUGCCUUUGAUACUGGCGAGCUCGAGGGAGGUAGGGGUAUGCGGAACUUCUGGUGGAGCGGUGAAAUGCGUUGAUAUCAGAAGGAACGCCGGUGGCGAAAGCGGCGUACUGGACCUCUUCUGACGCUGAGGCGCGAAAGCUAGGGGAGCAAACGGG